rnacentral:rRNA from 1 species
AUCCGGGAAGUAAAAAGCUCCGGCGCUACGAGAGGGGCCCGCGGCCGAUUAGCUUGUUGGUGGGGGUAAUGGCCUACCAAGGCGACGAUCGGUAGCUGGUCUGAGAGGAUGGUCAGCCACACGGGGACUGAGAUACGGCCCCGACUCCUACGGGAGGCAGCAGCUAAGAAUCUUGCGCAAUGGGCGAAAGCCUGACGCAGCAAUUCCGCGUGGAGGACGAAGGCCCUCGGGUCGUAAACUCCUUUUGCGAGGGAAGAAGUUCUGACGGUACCUCGCGAAUAAGCCACGGCUAACUACGUGCCAGCAGCCGCGGUAAUACGUAGGUGGCGAGCGUUGUCCGGAUUUAUUGGGCGUAAGAGCCCGCAGGCGGCUUGGCAAGUUUCGAGUGAAAUCUCCCGGCUCAACUGGAGGGCGCUCGGAAAACUGCCAGGCUUGAGGCAGGGAGAGGGAUGUGGAAUUCCCGGUGUAGUGGUGAAAUGCGUAGAUAUCGGGAGGAACACCAGUGGCGAA